GACGGAGGAUGCAAGCGUUAUCCGGAAUGAUUGGGCGUAAAGCGUCUGCAGGUGGCAGUUCAAGUCUGCUGUCAAAGACCGGGGCUUAACUUCGGAAAGGCAGUGGAAACUGAACAGCUAGAGUAUGGUAGGGGCAGAGGGAAUUCCUGGUGUAGCGGUGAAAUGCGUAGAGAUCAGGAAGAACAUCGGUGGCGAAGGCGCUCUGCUGGACCAUAACUGACACUGAGGGACGAAAGCUAGGGGAGCGAAAGGG
rnacentral:rRNA from 1 species